rnacentral:rRNA from 1 species
UACGUAGGGGGCAAGCGUUGUCCGGAUUUAUUGGGCGUAAAGAGCGUGUAGGCGGCUAGAUAGGUCCGUUGUGAAAACUCGAGGCUCAACCUCGAGACGUCGAUGGAAACCAUCUGGCUAGAGUCCGGAAGAGGAGAGUGGAAUUCCUGGUGUAGCGGUGAAAUGCGUAGAUAUCAGGAAGGAACACCCGGCGGCGAAGGCGG